rnacentral:rRNA from 1 species
UACGUAGGGGCAAGCGUUGUCCGGAAUUAUUGGGCGUAAAGAGCGUGUAGGCGGUCCGGUAAGUCAGCUGUGAAAGUCAAGGGCUCAACCCUUGAAAGCCGGUUGAUACUGUCCGGGCUAGAGUCCGGAAGAGGCGAGUGGAAAUUCCCGGUGUAGCGGUGAAAUGCGCAGAUAUCGGGAGGAACACCAAGGCGAAGGCAGCUCGCUGGGACGGUACUGACGCUGAGACGCGAAAGCGUGGGAGCAACAGG